UACGUAGGGUGCAAGCGUUAAUCGGAAUUACUGGGCGUAAAGCGUGCGCAGGCGGUUUUGUAAGUCUGUCGUGAAAUCCCCGGGCUCAACCUGGGAAUUGCGAUGGAGACUGCAAGGCUAGAAUCUGGCAGAGGGGGGUAGAAUUCCACGUGUAGCAGUGAAAUGCGUAGAGAUGUGGAGGAAUACCAAUGGCGAAGGCAGCCCCCUGGGGAUAAUAUUGACGCUCAUGCA
rnacentral:rRNA from 1 species